rnacentral:rRNA from 1 species
AUACGUAGGGAGCGAGCGUUGUCCGGAAUUACUGGGUGUAAAGGGAGCGUAGGCGGGAGUGCAAGUCAGAUGUGAAAUACAUGGGCUCAACCCAUGGGCUGCAUUUGAAACUGCAUUUCUUGAGUGAAGUAGAGGUAAGCGGAAUUCCUGGUGUAGCGGUGAAAUGCGUAGAUAUCAGGAGGAACACCGGUGGCGAAGGCGGCUUACUGGGCUUUUACUGACGCUGAGGCUCGAAAGCGUGGGGAGCAAACAGGAUUAGAUACCCUGGUAGUCCACGCUGUAAACGAUGAUUACUAGGUGUGGGGGGACUGACCCCUUCCGUGCCGCAGUUAACGCAAUAAGUAUUCCACCUGGGGAGUACGAUCGCAAGAUUGAAACUCAAAUGAAUUGGCGGGG